CAAGCAGUCACUUUCCUACCAACGCCACAAACAAGUUAGGAUGAAGAUUGCAGCUUUGAUGCUACUCCUGACACUCGCCUAUCUCGUGCUAGGAUCAAAUGCGGAUACAAACCGAAGGUGUACGUUUAAAUACCUGAAGAAGUUUUGUGGUUGUCAGGAAGAUUGCCACCGAAUCCUUAUGUGCCCUGAGAACAAGGAAUGCAAUUUGGAGGCUCAUAUUGUUGGCAAAUUGUGCAGGUGUACAAUGUGCAUAGACUACUCCAAGGCUCCAAUAAAGGAAACUAUGAUGUUAACUAGCUAAGCAAAUAUCAGUGCAAGUUUGCUAAAAAUAAUAACAAUGCCAUAUCAUGGGUUGUAUUAGCAUGACUAUUCGGAAUAAAUCUUUAUAGAACAUAAUUCAACAUUACACCUUGAGUUU